rnacentral:sRNA from 1 species
AAACUAUUACUAUUAUUACUGCUGCUAUUGCUACUGUGGCCGGUGUCCGUAUUUGGUUAUGUUGUGAUAUUUGCACCUUUCGCCGCCCCGAACUAUUUUUUCCCUCUUUUUCUUUCUCUCCUCCUCCUCUCCUCUUUUAUACCUCGCUUCUCUGCUCUCUGCCUCUUCUUCUUCUGCUUCUUCUCGUUAUUCCUUUCCUCAAUCCCCUGGAGAGCUCUCUUCUUUGGCGGAUUCUUGUCGGCUUCCAGAUCAUCCUCUAUUGUGGUCGACCUCAAUUCUAUGGUCCCCCGUCUCCUGGCUUCGUCCCACCUGGCCACUUCUCUCUCUUCGUCGACUUCCUCCCGUUUGCUUUCUUGUUUCCGUCGUCUAUAUAUAUAUAUAUAUAUACCAUUAUACAA